CCACAAGAGGAAGCGGCCAAGCUGAUUUGUUCAGAGGGUUUGAGACCAUUAUUCAAGAAUAAACCCAAAUCAUAUCCCGAGGGUGUGAAAGAGCUAAUACAAGAGUGCUGGGAUCCAACACCUUCCGGCAGGCCAACGUUCUCGGAUAUAAUUGAACGCCUGAACAAGAUAUCUGCAAGUUGUUCCAAGCAAACUCGCUGGAGAGACAACUUCAAGCUACUGUGGAAACAAGCUGUGCACAAAUAGUUCUGAUCUUCCAUGAGACUGUCGAUGAGAUUCCCCCCUUUUUUGCAUAUCUUAGUAAACACGGUGAAAAUUAUAUUGGUAUACGGGACAGAAGUUGUUCCUUUACAAGGUUUUUGUAUGUCCAGUUAUACUUUCUUUCUUUUUAUACCUCUGGUUAAGUGUAUUUCGAGUUAUGU